AGUAUUUAAUCAGCGAGGGCCUAGCCGCGACACAAAAAAAGUGAGAUCGGACGCCGGAACUGUUUCCGAGAAUUGGCUCUUCGACAAUCAAGUUAGAUGACUGAAAAAUAUAUAUAGAGAGGGGUAUAUAUCUCCAGGGGUAUAUAUCUCCAGGGGUGAAUUCCCAUACCUCUUUAGAGAAAUAAAGAUUGAUUUAUAUGGCACAGCUUGACGCACGUUUUGUCGUGCUAACUGUCGUGUCAUUGGACAAACUGCAGUUCGAUGCGUGCCUAGACGCGUCGACUGCUAUGUCAAUGUGUAGGCAGUUGACCCAACCAUGCUCUUAGGGCCUGGAUGAUAGCCUGUCCUCAUGAUGCUGACGUCUCGAUCCGGGCAUGGGGGCUGUCAGAAGAAGCUUCGAUAUGCAAGAUACGUUCUGUCCCCUAACAUCCAUCGGGAUUACCGCCGACCAUUGUCCCUUGUCCAAACUCUAGCGCGGUUACUCUUCCGAACUUACUAAAUAGCGAUAGCUCGGGAGUACUGGUAGCCUUAGCUCGGACAAUGUCUAUAUUCAGUAGUAUUUGCACCGAGUUUUAGCGCAUAGACCACCGAGUUUGCUUCAUAGCGAUAGCUUGGCGGAAAUGCCAAGCCUUAACAAGGCCUAAAGCUAUCAUUAUAUAUUUUAUCCCCUUAAAAUAUAUAUCUUAUUUUUUUCCUUGAAAUUGAUUGAAAGAUUUAUUCAACUCAUCUAGGGGUUCAUCAGGAAAAAAGAAAAGAGAUUCAUGGCUGAACUCUGUUUCAGGAAAAAAAGAAGAGAGAGAUUCAUGGCUGAACUCUGUUUUUCUCUAUCUAAAAAAAUACUCUCUCUAUAGGGGUGAAAGAAUUAGGAAACAAGGUAAUCCCUUGUGUCUCCCUCUCUCCAUUCUAAAUUGCAUUCAUAUUAUAUUUGAUGCUAUCAUAUUCACUGAGUUGAGUAAUAUAUACACACAUAUGUAUAUAUAUCUUAAUUUGUUUCCUUAAAAUUGAUCGAAAGAUUUAUUUCAGCUCAUCAUAGAGGUUCAUCAGGAAAAAAAAAAGAAGAGAUUCAUGGCUGAACUCUGUUUUUCUCUCACUCAAAAAGGAAAGGUGGUGGGGCUUAAAUGCUCCGUCCCUUUUAUCAUUCAAUUUGUUGGGCCACUCAUGGUUCGACAAGUGUGCAUCUCCUAUAAAGCUAAAAUACCAAACCCACACUAGAUCCUUCUCCACAAAUGAAACCUCACUCAUUGUGUCGGUUCAAGCAAACCUCCCUCCGCCUCCCGUCCUCUUCUCUCAUCUCCUUCCAUCCUUCAACUCCCAUAAUCGUGAGGGUUUAUCCUUUCAUUUUACUUUUCUUGUGUAAAGUACAUUGAACGGUUGUGCUCAAAACUAAUUACUGAUCCACAAACAUCAAAAGACAAUAAAGCUUUACGUGGUUUCGGGCGCCAACCAUGCCUAUGUUCCCACGGAGAGAAUCACUAUCCCUAUCGAACGAAUGGAUUACAACGGAGGAGACUCGAUCGCUCAACUUACAACCCUCUCUCCUCUCACAUCUCCGCUGUCUUGCCUCUCAAAUCUCACCUCAUGGCAAGCUUGCUCUCAGCCACACACUACGCACGUAGAAAAUCUAAGCCCCUACCAUCCCUUUUAUAGACUAAGGAAGGAGGUGGUGGACUCCUACUAGAAUACCUAAUCAUUAUCCCUAAUCUAUCUAAGGAAAAACAAAAAGAUAAAAGACUCUCCAAGAGUUCUAGAAUCACUCGAGAGUUUCACACCGUCACAUGGACACUCUAUAUGAACUGAACUCCCAAUCGUGCUUGGGCCUUGCUACUUGGACUUGGACUCAUCCGAUGGGCUGGACUCAACAAUGCUCCCCCUCCAGCCCACUGGAGGGUAAUUCCGAUGUCUUCAAGUUGUCCUUCUUGACAGCUUCUGAUCCAGCUCCCCCAUAAGACUGCAAGACAGCAUCCGAGUACCUUAACCUCUCCAACGGCUAACUCCACUUCCCACCGAAGUGUACACCUCCACACCGAAGUGCCUGCACUUCUCACUGAGGUAACCCUGCAAACCCUCCCCACUGUGGGCCGCAUCCUGGCGCGUGUGGACGCGUGGGUCCUCCUCCGUGCACGUGGCAAGCGCGUGGGCCCUCCCUGGGCCGCUUGGCUGAGACUGACCUCACUCGGCCGAUAUUCAAACGGCACGUGAGGGCGCGCUCGGACUCCGUUUUUAACACAUUUGGUGCUGAAAUUUCGUUUCGACGAGAGGAAUAAUAACCUUAUCAAUUAGAAAUUAAUUUGAGCACUUUCUCAGACACGCGAAUUUCGACCUGGGCUCCGAAUCGCCUCCACCUAAUUCUCUGAUCCAAUUGUUGUGCUCAAAACUAACUUACGGAUCACACCACGAUACAAAGAACAAAAAUGAUUUACGUGGUUCGUCGGCCAACAUGCCCUAUGUCCCGGAGAGAAAUCACCAAUCCAACUAUUCGAACGCAUGGAUUACAACGUAGGAGACUCGAUCGCUCAACUCACACCCUCUCUCACAAUCUCUCUCUGUCGUUGGCCUCUCAAUCUCACCUCACGGCAAUUCUGCUCUCAGCCCCACACAACGCACACGUAAAAAAUCUAAGCACCCUAAACCAAUCCCUUUUAUAGACCAAGAGAAGGAGGUGGGGGACUCCUACCAGAAUACCUAAUCAUUAUCCUAAAUCUCUCUAGGAAACAAAAGAUAACGACUCUUCAAGAGUUCUCAGAUAACUCGAGAGUUUUUUCACCGUCACAUGGCACUCAUAUGAACUCCAAUCGGGCUUGGACUUGCUACUGACUGACUCAUCCAAUGGGCUGGACUCAACAGAAUAAAUAUGGUUUCUUAGAAUGUCACAAUAUAGACCUUUCAUUUCAAUUUCUUGUGUGAGAUGACAUUGAAUGGAUGUGGUUUCAUUUCAAUUUCGUGUCAAAUGACUCAAAUUGUUGUAUGAAAUUUUUCUAUGCUAUUUUAAUGCUUAUAAACAUUAUUUAUACAAAUUAACAGGUAUUAUAUUAUGCAAGAGCAUCUACAGUACAUAUAUCUAAAAAUAGUGUAUAUGAUGACUCAUGUAUAACAUUAUUACAAUAGAUCGUAAUAUUCACCACAAUCAGGGACGGAAUUAGGGUUUCAUCUUUUAAGAGGGGUCAAAAUAUAAAAGUUGAACUAACUAGGGGAGUCAUAUUGUAUUUAUGUAAAAUAUAUAAAAGGGGUAAAUAGUAUACUAGGGGAUUAUGGCAGAAGUAGGGGGGUCAUGGCCCCCUACUGUCGAUGCUUAGGUCUGUCCCUGACCACAACGAUUAUAACUAAAACAAAAUUAUUUUUAUUUAUCCCUAGGUCUGUCCUUGACCACAACGAUUAUACAAAAACAAAAUUAUUUUUAUUUAUCCCAAAAAGUCAUCAAAUUUUACGACAUAUUAAUGUGAAUGAACUAUUUUAAUUAUUUUUAAGAUACACCCAUACACCCACGGUAAACCUAUUCAUAUAUUACUACAGAACCGAUCGUAACAUUUUAAUAAUAUAUUCAAUGAGUAAUACUAUAUGAUAAGUUGUCACAAAUAAAUUCAAUUCUUCAUAAUUAUGUAACUUGUUUUAGUUUUACCAUUUAUAUUAAAAUAAUAAAUUAUUUGUCAACUAAAUAUAAUUUGCUUUAAAAAUGUAAUCAUUUCACACAUUUUCAUUCACUUCCAAAUUAUAUUUUCAUAACCAAAUUUUAUUUUACCUGGAAUUAUUUUUUAAAUUAAACAAAAAUUAAAUGCCAUAACUUAUUAAAAAAUAUGUAUAAUUAAAAAUAAAGCAAAGUUCACUCACUUCACUUAAGAUUUCUCACAAAUAUGAUAAAAUUGAAAAUUCCCCUUACCUCCCUUACUUUUGAAAUUAAAAUUCUUUCUGAAAUUAAUUUUUAACAAAAAAAAUAAGAUUAUCCUUAGAUUUAGGGUUUCAUGAUUUUUUUUUCUCAAUACACUAAUUAACUACCCUAUAUUUACUUUUUAUUUAUAAAUAUUUAAUUAAAAAAGAAUCCAAACAAUUUACUUUUUAAUUUUUCCUAAUCCAAACGUAAUUAAAAAAUAAACUUUGUUAUCAAAGUUAACAAAAUCACAACAAAAAAAAAAUUAUUUAUUUAUUUAUUUCUCAAAAAAUCACCAUUUAUUCGUAAACUACUACAUCUUUACUUUUUAUCAAUAAAUAAAAUUAUUGUAAAAAAUUAAUCUACAUAGAUUUUUUUAAGUUCUCCUAAUCUAAACAUACUUAAAAAUUAAUUUUUGUUAUCAAAUUUAACCGAAUCAAUACACAAAAAUUGGUCAUAAAAAAAUAAUAUUUAUUAAAAAAAUAUUAAAUUAAGAAGAUUUAUUUUGUCACAAUCACUAAAGAUCACUCGGGGUUUUUUUAGCGACACAAUUCUUUUUAUUUUAAUUGGUGUAUUGAGGAAAGAAAUAUAAAAGUUCUAAAUAAAAAAGAAUCUUGUUAUGUUUGCCAAAAUAUUAAAGGAGAAUCCUGAUAAUAGUUUGAAAACUAAUAAGGUCAAAAGUAAAAAGGGUUUGUAAUAUUUUAAAAACUAUAGGAAAAAUGAAUAUAAUUUUAAGAAACUUUCAAGAGGGUCAGUGUAAUUUUCCUAAAAAUGUGGAACACGAGGUUGAACGUGGCCUAAUGAGGUCCGGUAAAAAAAUUAAGUAAAUUAAAAUUCCUAUUUUAUUAUAAAAAUGAAUAACGCGCGAUUGGUCCACUGCACUAAAUUAUCCGUGACAGUAUACAAACGGUGAUGGAACACAUUUAUAACAAAAAUAACUAUUAAUAAAAAAAUUCUCUUCAUCCAACACAAUAUUAAUAUUACAGAUCAGAAUCAAACCCCGACUGAAACCGUUACGAUGCUAAGGUUUGGGUUUAUCAUUACAGUUAGAAUACCUAGCUAUAAGUCUUUUCUUGUCGUAAACAACAAUGAUAAGGUUGUAUCAGUACAUUUGUAAUAAUUACUUGCCGGACUAAUGAUCUUUACUAGUUUGAAUCCCAACAGAAAAUAUUAACAACAAUAAAUAUCAUGUGGAUCGCUUCAUAGCCUCGAGUCAGAUACUGCUAAUAUGUAUGCGGAUUACUUGAUAGUACAUUGAGAAGGGGGCCAACUCAGUAAAAAAUAUUAGACAGAUCAGAAUCAAACCCAGACUGAAACCUUCAACGCUGAGAAGGUUGUAUCAUCUAAAUGUUUAGAAUUAACUCCCCCCCCAGUAUCAAUUUCUGUUUUUGUCAGUAAACAAACAUAUGAUAAGGUUGUUGUCUCAUUACAUGUGUAAUUACCUUACUUGCAGGACUAUGAUCUUUACUAUGUUUGAAUCCAACAUGAAAAUAUUAGACAACAUAAGAUCAUGUGGAUCGACUUCAUAUCCUAUCAUCUGCUAUAUAAUUAUGCGAUUUAACUUGAUAGUAGCAUUGAGGGUCCAACGCAAGAUAAAAAUAUUACAGAUCAGAAUCAACCCAGACGAAACCUUCACGUGCAUAAGGUUGUAUCAUUACAUGUUAGAAUAACUAGCUAUCAACUUUUCUUUUGCCAGUAAACAACAAUGAUAAGGUUGUAUCAUUACAUGUUGUAAUAAUUACUUGCAGGACUAUGAUCUUUACUAGUUUGCAUCCCAACAGAAAAUAUUAGGAAACAAAAUAAAGAUCAUGUGGAUCGACUUCAAUCCUAGUCUACUGCCUAUAUUAUGCGAUUUCCUGAUAGUAGCAUGAGGGGACAACGCAAGAUAAAAAUAUUACAGUCAGAAUCAAACCCAGACUGAAAAACCUUCACGAUGCUAAGGUUGUAUCAUUACAUGUUCGAAUAACUAGCUAUCAAUAUUUCUUUUGCCAGUAAACAACAAUGAUAAGGGUUGUAUCAGUACAUGUGUAAUAAUUACUUGCAGGACUAUGCUCUUUACUAGUUUUAUUUUAUUUUUUUAUCUGCGUUGGCCCCUCACGUAUUUUUCAAGUAAAUCGUAGAAUAUACAGUAUGACUAGGAUAUGAAGCGAUCGACAUGAUCUUUAUUUGUUGUCUAAUAUUUUCCUGUUGGGAUUCAAAUUUUCCCUUUCCCUUUUCUUUCUCCAAGGAAUCCAUGUUAUAAUGGAAAUCCUCCCUUCCAUUAAUUAGAAAGUUGACACAUUUUAACUUAAAAUAAGUGGAGCCACAUUGGGUUACCUCACUAAUUUUUUAUUAACUCAUCAAAAUGGCCAUCAUUUUGAUUUAAUUUUAUUAAUUUGAAUUAUUUAUUUAUUUUUUAAAAAAAAGCUAACAGAAAUGAUAUUCAUGUUAGUUUGAUUCCAUCUGUUAGUUUUUUUUUUUAUUGAAAUCAUUAUUAAAAAUAGUUAAUCAGUUUUGAUUCUAUAUAUUAUUUUUUAUUUAAAAUCAUUAUUUAAAUAAUAUUUAAAUAUUUUGAAUAUUUUUUUUAAUUUUUUUAAAAAAUUAAUAAAAUAAUUUUAAUUAGUAGAAUCAAAAUAACGUAUUUUAAGGGUGAAAUACCCUGACCACCCUAGUUUUCGGGUUAAUACACAAAACAACCGGAGUUUGAAAGAAAUAAUGUGACCUCUCCGGAGGUUUGAAACUUGUACAAAUUUUGUCUAUUUUAUACUAACCGGAGGUUCAGGUUAAUACAUAAAACACCCUUUAACGUCAAUGGUUGUUAGUAAAAAUUAAGACUGCCCAUCAUUACGAGGAACCAAAAAAAUAUAUGGAGUAAUUAAGUGUUUGUUCCCUUUUUGGUGGACUCAUAAUGGAGUCAUAGAGCAAGGGAUAAGGUUGGCCAUCUUUGCUUUUGGUUUUGGAGACAUAACCAACUGUGGCAUGGUUGGUCACGGGCGGUCUCACAUCUCAUCAUAAUUUGAUAAGGCAGUCUUGAGCCUCAAUUUUUUUUUGAAAAAUGGUCCCCUAUUUCUUCAAAAACUUACAAUACAAAGUAUUUAAAAAUAUUAUUAAAUAAUAAUUACUUUAACUAUACUAUCGGUGGACAAUGAUAUAUGCUAUAUCUGUAGAUUUGCCUAGGACCUUAAAUUCUCAAGACCGACCCUCUUUGAUCAAGUUGUGGGUUUGUUCUAACCGAUAUUUAUCUUACAAUGUGCACGCGUAUAAUAGACGCUUAAUACCCUCCAUCAAAGUUAUGAUCUCAUAUUCCCCCCCCUCUCCCUUAAGCCCCUCCUUGCCUCAACAAACAUGGCAGCACUGCCACUCCCUCUCUCUCUAAACUUCACGGUGAAACGGAAACCGCCGGAGCUUGUGGUGCCGGCCAAGCCAACGCCACGUAAAAAGAAGCAGCUUUCGGACAUAGAUGACCAGCAAGGCCUCCGGUUUCACGUUCCGAUGAUCAUGUUUUACCAAAACAACCUUGCACAAAAAGGAAUAGACCCUGUGAGGGUCAUUAGGGAGGCACUGGCUAGGGCACUCGUGUAUUAUUACCCUUUUGCAGGUAUGGUGCCUCUACGUUAUAAGAAUAGGUUUUAUAAAAAUAUUCUUUGAGAUUUUUUUUA
rnacentral:lncRNA from 1 species